rnacentral:rRNA from 1 species
GGCCAAGCGUUAAUCGGAAUGAGUGGGGUUAAAGGGUGCGCAGGCGGAACCGUGCGUGUCUUGUGAAAUCCACAGCUCAACUGUGGAAUUGCUCGACAUACGACGGGUCUUGAGCCCGACAGAGGSCGUCGGAACGAUAGGUGGAGCGGUGAAAUGCGUAGAUAUCUAUCGGAACGCCGAAGACGAAGGUAGGCGGCUGGGUCGGAGCUGACGCUCAGGCACGAAAGCGUGGGUAGCGAACGGGAUUAGAUACCCCGGUAGUCCACGCCCUAAACGAUGUGUACUAGAUCGGGGAGGUUUUGACGCCAUCCCGGUCGAAGCUAAAGCGUUAAGUACACCGCCUGGGGAGUACGGUCGCAAGAUUAAAACUCAAAGGAAUUGACGGGGGCUCACACAAGCGGUGGAGCAUGUGGCUUAAUUCGAAGCAACGCGAAGAACCUUAUCAGGGUUUGACAUGCACGGAUUAACUCGAUGAAAGUCGAGCCACGCCUUCUGGUGGAACGUGCACAGGUGCUGCAUGGCUGUCGUCAGCUCGUGCCGUGAAGUGUCGGGUUAAGUCCCUUAACGAGCGAAACCCUUGCCGCUAGU